GUUGAACGCUGGCGGCAGGCCUAACACAUGCAAGUCGAGCGGACGAAGGGAGCUCGCUCCCGGCUUCCGCUGCCGACGGGCGGGUAAGGCCCAGGAAUAUACCCGGUAGAUAGGGAUAAGGUCAGGUAACGGGAGCUAAUACCGCAUACGUUCAGAUGUUGAAACGGGGGGAUCUUCGGACAUCGCGCGAUCUGAUGACCCUAGGUCGGAUUAGCUAGUUGGUGGGGUAAAGGCCUACCAAGGCGACGAUCCGUAACUGGUCUGAGAGGAUGAUCAGUCACACUGGAACUGAGACACGGUCCAGACUCCUACGGGAGGCAGCAGUAGGGAAUCUUCGACAAUGGGCGAAAGCCUGACCGAGCCAUGCCGCGUGUGCGAUGAAGGUCUUCGGAUUGUAAAGCACUUUUAGUUGGGAGGAACAACAGUAAGAUAAUACCUGGCUGUUUUGACGGUACCAACAGAGUAAGCCCCGGCUAACUUCGUG
rnacentral:rRNA from 1 species